UACGGAGGGUGCAAGCAUUGAUCGGAAUUACUGGGCGUAAAGGGCGCGUAGGCGGCGAUGUAAGUCAGAUGUGAAAUUCCGGGGCUCAACCCCGGAGCUGCAUUUGAAACUGCAUGGCUAGAGUACAGUUAGGGUAAACGGAAUUCCACGUGUAGCGGUGAAAUGCGUAGAUAUGUGGAAGAACACCGGUGGUGAAGACG
rnacentral:rRNA from 1 species